AGAGUUUGAUCAUGGCUCAGAGCGAACGCUGGCGGCAGGCCUAACACAUGCAAGUCGAGCGGACGUAGCAAUACGUCAGCGGCAGACGGGAGAGUAACACGUGGGAACGCGCCCUUCGGUUCGGGAUAACUCAGGGAAACUUGGGCUAAUACCGGAUACGCCCUUACGGGGAAAGAUUUAUUGCCGAAGGAACGGCCCGCGUCCGAUUAGCUUGUUGGUGAGGUAACGGCUCACCAAGGCGACGAUCGGUAGCUGGUCUGAGAGGAUGACCAGCCUCACUGGGACUGAGACACGGCCCAGACUCCUACGGGAGGCAGCAGUGGGGAAUAUUGGACAAUGGGGGCAACCCUGAUCCAGCCAUGCCGCGUGAGUGAUGAAGGCCCUAGGGUUGUAAAGCUCUUUUGUGCGGGAAGAUAAUGACGGUACCGCAAGAAUAAGCCCCGGCUAACUUCGUGCCAGCAGCCGCGGUAAUACGAAGGGGGCUAGCGUUGCUCGGAAUCACUGGGCGUAAAGGGUGCGUAGGCGGGUCUUUAAGUCAGGGGUGAAAUCCUGGAGCUCAACUCCAGAACUGCCUUUGAUACUGAAGAUCUCGAGUCCGGGAGAGGUGAGUGGAACUGCGAGUGUAGAGGUGAAAUUCGUAGAUAUUCGCAAGAACACCAGUGGCGAAGGCGGCUCACUGGCCCGGUACUGACGCUGAGGCACGAAAGCGUGGGGAGCAAACAGGAUUAGAUACCCUAGUAGUCC
rnacentral:rRNA from 1 species